GUGCCAGCAGCCGCGGCGGUAAUACGAAGGGUGCUAGCGUUGUUCGGAAUUACUGGGCGUAAAGCGUGCGUAGGCGGAUUUUUAAGUCAGGUGUGAAAUCCCGGGGCUCAACCCCGGAACUGCAUUUGAAACUGGAAGUCUAGAGACCAGGAGAGGUUAGCGGAAUACCGAGUGUAGAGGUGAAAUUCGUAGAUAUUCGGUGGAACACCAGUGGCGAAGGCGGCUAACAGGACUGGUACUGACGCUGAGGCACGAAAGCGUGGGGAGCAAACAGGAUUAGAUACCCUGGUAGUCCACGCCGUAAACGAUGAGAGCUAGUUGUCAGUAAAUUUAUUUAUUGGUGACGCAGCUAACGCAUUAAGCUCUCCGCCUGGGGAGUACGGUCGCAAGACUAAACUUAAAUGAAUUGACGG
rnacentral:rRNA from 1 species